GACGGGGGAUGCAAGCGUUAUCCGGAAUCACUAGGCGUAAAGCGUCUGUAGGUGGUGAUGCAAGUCACUGGUGCAAAACUCUGGCUCAACCGGAGGAAAGCCAGUGAAACUGCAUGACUAGAGUGUGGGAGAGGUAGAAGGAAUUCCCUGAGUAGCGGUGAAAUGCGUAGAUACAGGGAAGAACACCGGAGGCGAAAGCGUUCUACUGGAACACAACUGACACUGAGAGACUAAAGCUAGGGGAGCGAAUGGA
rnacentral:rRNA from 1 species